GAUAUCUGGCUUGGAAUGACUAGCCCGCCUCGAAAGAGUGUGUGCUUGCUGGUCGUUUCAGCCAUCCUUCUGGAAACCUUCUCUGCUCUUCACUGGGUGGGGAAGUGAUCCAGAUCUUUUACUUUGAAAAAAUUAGAGUGUUCAAAGCAGGCAUUUUGCUGUGAAUACAUUAGCAUGGAAUAAUAAGAUAGGACUUUGGUUCUAUUUUGUUGGUUUCUAGGACUGAAGUAAUGAUUGAUAGGGAUAGUUGGGGGUGCUAGUAUUCAACGGCCAGAGGUGAAAUUCUCGGAUUCGUUGAAGACUAACUAAUGCGAAAGCAUU
rnacentral:rRNA from 1 species